rnacentral:lncRNA from 1 species
GGGGUGGACCAGUGUAUAUUUUCUAAUCACAGUUGUUAUCUGUUUAGGAUUUUAAUACAAUUGGAGAUAACUGCUGAACAAGCUGUCUUGAUUGUCUAAGUGGAGUUGGGAAAUUUUAUCUGAAUUUUUACUCAACAUUUUGUGAUUUCAUGGAAAAGAAAUCCAGGCAUGUAAACAAAAAGUCUUGGGAGGUUGAUGUGAUCAAUCAUUGGUUAACACCUAAAAGAAAUGGCAAAUUCCAGCAGAAAAAGAAAUAUAUCCUUCUAAAUUAUUAACUUAAAUGUGGC